GAUGAAGAACGUAGUGAAAUGCGAUAAGUAGUGUGAAUUGCAGAAUUCAGUGAAUCAUCGAAUCUUUGAACGCACAUUGCGCCCCUUGGUAUUCCAUGGGGCAUGCCUGUUCGAGCGUCAUUUGUACCUUCAAGCUUUGCUUGGUGUUGGGUGUUUGUCCUGAGGGACUCGCCUUAAAGUAAUUGGCAGCCAGUGUUUUGGUUUUGAAGUGCAGCACAAGUCGCGAUUCAAGGCUAUACGCCAGCUUCCACAAGCCUUUUUCACUUUUGACCUCGGAUCAGGUAGGGAUACCCGCUGAACUUAAGCAUAUCAAUAAGCGGAGGA
rnacentral:misc_RNA from 1 species